UAAUCACGAACUCUUCACCACCA
rnacentral:sRNA from 1 species